AUCGCGGAUGCAAAAUUGCCGGACAUGCAGGCGGGAUGGGAGCAGAUGUGCUCCAACGUCAUGGCCGGCCUUUCCGGCCUCAACAUGGUCUAUGAGGCCG
rfam:Phaeobacter gallaeciensis strain JL2886, complete genome.